UUAUGGCCACAUCACAUUGAAACACUAGUUCCCAUACAAUCACCAAAGUUAGGCAACAUCAAGCCUGGUCAGUACCUAGAUGGGUGACCACUUGGGAAUACCAGGUGGAUG
rnacentral:rRNA from 1 species